rnacentral:rRNA from 1 species
GACGAACGCUGGCGGCGUGCCUAAUACAUGCAAGUAGAACGCUGAAGAGAGGAGCUUGCUCUUCUUGGAUGAGUUGCGAACGGGUGAGUAACGCGUAGGUAACCUGCCUUGUAGCGGGGGAUAACUAUUGGAAACGAUAGCUAAUACCGCAUAACAAUGGAUGACACAUGUCAUUUAUUUGAAAGGGGCAAUUGCUCCACUACAAGAUGGACCUGCGUUGUAUUAGCUAGUAGGUGAGGUAAUGGCUCACCUAGGCGACGAUACAUAGCCGACCUGAGAGGGUGAUCGGACACACUGGGACUGAGACACGGCCCAGACUCCUACGGGAGGCAGCAGUAGGGAAACGUCGGCAAUGGGGGCAACGCUGACCGAGCAACGCCGCGUGAGUGAAGAAGGUUGUCGGAUCGUAAAGCUCUGUUGUAAGUCAAGAACGGGUGUGAGAGUGGAAAGUUCACACUGUGACGGUAGCUUACCAGAAAGGGACGGCUAACUACGUG